GACGAACCGUGCGAACGUUGUUCGGAAUCACUGGGCUUAAAGGGCGCGUAGGCGGCAGACCAAGUCCGGGGUGAAAUCCUCCAGCUCAACUGGAGAAGUGCCUUGGAUACUGGUUUGCUCGAGGGAGGUAGGGGUCGAGGGAACUUCUGGUGGAGCGGUGAAAUGCGUUGAUAUCAGAAGGAACGCCGGUGGCGAAAGCGCUACGACUGGAUCUCUUCUGACGCUGAGGCGCGAAAGCUAGGGGAGCAAACGGGG
rnacentral:rRNA from 1 species